GAGCAACUAGAGUAAUACAAAUAAUGGUCUGAAUGAAAGCAUAACUGUAUGAAUGAAAUCAAAAGCUAGAUUAAUGUAGGAGGGGACUACAAGAUUGAGAAAGACGUGCAGCUGACCUACAAUCUUCGUCAAGCAAUCCAUCCAAGCAAUCUACUGACCGCCGCUAGGAUCAAUUCCGAAAUCUACACAAGAAGUGCAUAAUGUAGUAUGAGUACAACUGAACCCUAUGUACUCUAUGAGCGUCGAGCCUAACUCUACAAAGUAGUAACAAGGCUAAGGCGGAUUACUUACAAUAACCUGUACGCAAAUAGGAAAGGAAGACAGGAAAUGACGACAAAGCAAUUACCUAAUAAAAACAACCUCAAUCCUCGAAAUUAGUGAAUCCAAAAAUAUUAGUCCUCAAAAUCUCAGAUGAAGAUAUUGUAACCUAACACAAUACAACAAUAAAUACAAAACAUACAAUCCGUUACGGCGCACAACCCGAUCCUACCAUACAAACAAAAUCCUCGUUUAUGUCACCAUAUUAAUAUCAAGAAUAAUAUAUCAAAUAUGUUACAGCAGACAAUCUAAUCCCACCAUAUCAAUAUCAAAAUCUUCUCUUAUUUCACCAUAUCAAUAUCAUAACUACAUAUAAAAUCUAUUAUGUCGCGCAACCCGAUCCUACCAUAUCAAUGCCAAAUCAUUCCUUGUUUUACUAUAUCACAAUCAUUGCAGCGUGCAACCUGGUCCAUAAAAAAAUUCAAUAAAUGUGUUCAAUCCAACAAGUCAAUUCACAAGAACUUCUAAAAUUAAAGAAUAUGAAAGUAAACAAUAAAGGAAUCCUAUACCAAAUUAAAAAAAAAAAAGCUAUAAUUACUUCAAAACAAUAAGAUAAGCCAAAUAUAUAAUAGUUAAAAUGUACAAAUAAGACAAAUAAGGAAAGUAGCAUUCAAUCAUAGAAUUAUAGAAGAAACUAAUAAUUCAAUACAAGAAUAACUAAAACAAGCAACAAGUUACGACAUAGGAAGCAAUUAAAGCAUGUAACAGUUGACAUGGAAUAAGAUAACUAAUGAAAUACGGGAAAGCAUGAAAAUAUUAUGUUGACAGCGUAUAUAUACUCAUCACCUCGCAUAUAUAUUGUUCCACAUGUAAUUCACAUAAAAUUAUAGUUGAAGGGUUCCUAAUUGCCUCAAAAUCAAGGUUAGACCCAACACUUACCUUGCUCCGCAAGCAAAUUAAAGCUCAAUCGGGGCCUUUCCUCUAAAAUACUCCUCCAAACCAAUCGAAUCUAACCAAAGUUGACAUAAUAUUAGUAAAUAAUGCUAGAAAAAUUACAAUACAUAAGAUUAAGAUCUUUACACUUUUCCCGAAAAGUCAACCACAGGCUUGCUUGGUCAAAACCCGAGAUUCAAAUCAAAAUCCAAUUACCCAUUUAUCCCGAGCCCGAUUAUGCAAUUAGUUGCAAAAUCAUACCUCAGUUUUAGGUCUAAAUCUAAAUUUUAAGAAAACCCCCUCAAUUAUACCUAAAAUCCUAAUUUUCUACUAUGAAAAAGCAUAGUUUAAUGUUAUAAAUCAACAGGUGUUGAUGUAAAUGUAAGAAAUUAAUUUAAAGUAUACUUAGCUACGAAGUAGGGAUAGAAUAUCUCUUCAAAAUAUCCUCUAGGUCGAGCUCUAAUACGAGGAUAAUGAAAAAUGAAGAAAAUUCCGAUUUUUAGAAGUUCAAAAGACCGGGCAUCAGGUGUUCAUCACGUUCGCAAGACACCUGACGUUUUCGCGAAGAAGCAACGACCAAAGACGUGAGGUGUUGCACGCAUACGCCAUGGUCUCCCUCCCCUUGCGUUUGCGGGCCUAGGCUCACGUUUGCAUAGAACAAACCCCUGCUCCCCUGCCAGACCCAUUACUCGUUGUGUUCAUGUAGUGUUGGUCGCGUUCGCGAAAGGGAGAUCCCACCAUUGCUUCGCAUUUGCAUUCACAGCCUCGCGUCGCAUAGAGGAAAACCCACCCCGGCCUAGACUACUCUUCCUCAUCGUGGGAGUAUCGCGAAGAAGGAUUUACCAGAUAUCAGCAGACUUAAAAACCAUUAAUAAUCUAGGUCCAAAAAUCACUCUGUAGCCUAUUCGAAACUCACCGAACCUCUCAAGUUCCAAACAAUACAUGCACACAAGUGUAAUAAUAUCAUACAAACUUACUCGCACGAUCAAAACCUCAAAAUAACACCUACAACUACGAAUUGGACAUCAAAGUGAAUAAUAUUUUCAAAGAAACUCAAGAACAUGCAAUUUUGCAACCGAACGUCCAAAUCACGUCAAAUCAACUAUGUUUUGCACCAUGCACUAAACUUUGUAGACAAGUCAUAAAUACUAUCAUGAACUUAUACCAAGUUCCGAAACCGAAAUCUGAAUCUGGCAGCAACAAAGUCAAACUUAGAAAUUCUUUUAGCCUUCAAUUUACUAUUUUUCAACAAGUUAUGAUAAUUCAAGUUAUGGACUUCCCAAUUCGAUUCCGGACAUAUACCCAAGUCUCAAAUCAUGAAAAGAACCCACCGGGACCAUUAAAUAUUGAUUCGGGUCCUAUAAUACAAAAUGUUGACCUAGUCAACUUAAAUGAAUUUUAAGGCAAAAUUUCAUAUUUUCUUCAAUUAUUUUCACUCAAAAGAUUUUCUGAAAAAAAAAAAACACAAACUGUGCCUGCAAAUCUAAGAAGAUGAAACGGAACUAUUCAAGGUCUCGAAAAACAGAAUAAGAGUUAAACUGAAAAUGACUUAUGGGUCAUCACACUUUCAAGAAAAUAUUUUCCAACGUACCAAGCACAUCCUUACAUUUCGUACACUUUCUCUAACGUUUUGACUUGAUGAAGUUUAGUUUCGAACGUAAUUCGUUAAAAGAAACAAAUUUCGAAGUAUUCAUGCUGAUCUCAUUCAUUUUCAUGUAGAGCUAGUCCAUUAUCUCCAACGAGUUAUAAAUAUAUGGAAACAGAGUGUCUUAAUAUUUUACUGCUGCAAAAGCUAUAAGCAUAAUUUAGGCAAAAUUAUUGCUGAACAUGCACCUAGAAAAGUAAGGUCUCUCUUAAGUUCUAUCCAUAUAGUGUUCUCAGAAGAAAAAAAACCAAAAAACUUUCCCCCUAAUUAGCUGACUUCUAAAGCAACAAAGAGCCAUUUAUUUAAUAAUAAUGAAGAUUUAGACUAAAACUUUGCGUAUCACAAGAAGGAAUGAAAGGAGGCACCCCUUUUCCUAUUACCUUCCAAAUCAUCUGUCCUCUCAUGAGAAUUUUCUUAUUCAAUGACAAAAAAAUAUUCCUUCUUUAAUUCUCUGCAUCGUCCAAUUUGCCUUAUUGAGAAAGAAUACUAUUAUUGUAUCUCUCUUUUUAUGUAUCUCUCUCUAGAUCGUAAAUUGAGAAAGAAUACUAUUAUUCUUAACCCAAAAAAGGAUUGAAACAUUAAUACGAUCCUAAAAUGAAUUGUUGAUAAAAUUUUAACUAAUAAUAAAUUAAAAAUCAUAAAUUAAAAAGGAUAUUUCAAGAGAGAUUAAAUAUAUUAGAUGUAUUAGAAUUUUAAAAAAUUAUUAGAAUGAAAUAAAUAUGAAAAUUAUUAAUAACUUUACGUAUAAAAAGUCAAGAAAAUUGAAUUUCAAAUAAAAUUACAAAUGAAGUUUUUUUUUUCUAACAAAAAACUUAAGGUGUCUUAUUGAAGUUUUGCUCUAGGUCAUCAUAUUUAUUGAGCCUCCAUCUCAACAGAAAAUAUAACAUUUAACAUAAUAAAACAAAAAAAAAGUAAAAUCAGACAUUCAAACUAGACUAUCACCUGUUUAAGAAGAGGAAACUGUACUGUCCCGGCUGGCCACUUAGCAGGCGCGGAGCUAUAAGCUAGCCGACCCCAACUCACUGCCAGUCUUCUUUGAUGGCCGAGGCCCGAGAGUAUUAUGUAAAAAGGAUCGAUGAGCAUCUAAUCCGAAAGGAAUUCUCAUCUUAUAUUCAAGUUUGACUUUAGUUAUGGUAUUUGUAGUAAGAUGGCUUUGGCUCUUGUGAUUUACCUUAAUAAUGGGGUGUUGCGG
rnacentral:lncRNA from 1 species